UACGAGUGCCCCGAGCGUUAUCCGGAAUCAUUGGGCGUAAAGGGUGUGUAGGUGGCAAUGUUAGUCAGUUGUUAAAACCUGGGGCUUAACCCCAGAUGUGCGACUGAAACGGCAUAGCUAGAGGAUGCGAGGGAUCUGUGGAACUCAUGGAGUAGGGGUGAAAUCCGUUGAUAUCAUGGGGAACACCGAAAGCGAAAGCAGCAGAUUGGCGCAUUCCUGACACUGAAACACGAAAGCGUGGGUAGCGAAUGGG
rnacentral:rRNA from 1 species